rnacentral:ncRNA from 2 species
CCCGGCAAAGAUCGCGCCGGUGCCCCGAAAGGGGCUUAAUACGGGAACACGGUAAGGAUGGUCCGCCAUCCCGAUCCGAGGCUGUCCCUGCAACUGUAAGCGGCGAGCGCGAUGCACAUUCGCGGCGGGCAAAGAUUGCCCGGCGCAGCCACUGGGCCGGACGCUAAGUCAUGCGAGGCCUGGGAAGGCCGUGCAUCGGGCCGUGACCCGCGAGCCAGGAAACCUGCCGGCGUCGAUGUCGCUCU